GCUGAAUUGGUCUAGUGGUAUGAUACACCCUUAGGGAACAAGCAUUCUCCUAUCUGCUUGGGUGUGGUUCUCGGUUCGAUUCCGGGAUUCGGCC